AGAGUUUGAUCCUGGCUCAGAAUCAACGCUGGCGGCGCGCCUAACACAUGCAAGUCGAACGAGAAAGCCCGCAAGGGUGAGUACAGUGGCGUACGGGUGAGUAACACGUGGAUAAUCUACCCUCUAGUGGGGAAUACCGUUGGGAAACCGACGACAAUACCGCAUAAUCUCGAGAGAGGAAAGCAGCAAUGCGCUGGAGGAGGAGUCCGCGGCUGAUUAGCUAGUUGGUGAGGUAAUGGCUCACCAAGGCUCAGAUCAGUAGCCGGCCUGAGAGGGCACACGGCCACACUGGCACUGAAACACGGGCCAGACUCCUACGGGAGGCAGCAGUGGGGAAUCUUGCACAAUGGGGGAAACCCUGAUGCAGCGACGUCGCGUGAGCGAUGAAGCCCUUCGGGGUGUAAAGCUCUUUCGGCAGGGAAGAUUAUGACGGUACCUGCAGAAGCAGCUGCGGCUAACUACGUGCCAGCAGCCGCGGUAAUACGUAGGCAGCAAGCGUUGUUCGGAGUUACUGGGCGUAAAGGGUGUGUAGGCGGUUGGAUAAGAGUGGUGUGAAAUCUCCCGGCUUAACUGGGAGGGUGCGCUACAGACUGUCUGACUAGAGUAUGGGAUGGGAGAGUGGAAUUCCUGGUGUAGCGGUGAAAUGCGUAGAUAUCAGGAGGAACACCGGUGGUGUAGACGGCUCUCUGGACCAUUACUGACGCUGAGACACGAAAGCGUGGGUAGCAAACAGGAUUAGAUACCCUGGUAGUCCACGCCCUAAACGAUGCAUAUUUGGUGUGGGCCAUUCAUUUGGUCCGUGCCGGAGCUAACGCGUUAAAUAUGCCGCCUGGGGAGUACAGUCGCAAGGCUGAAACUCAAAGGAAUUGACGGGGGCCCGCACAAGCGGUGGAGCAUGUGGUUCAAUUCGACGCAACGCGAAGAACCUUACCUAGGCUCGAACGGCUUUAGACAUCCCCAGAAACGGGGACUUCCCGCAAGGGACUGGAGUCGAGGUGCUGCAU
rnacentral:rRNA from 1 species